GCUGGCGGCGUGCCUAAUACAUGCAAGUCGAACGAACUCUGGUAUUGAUUGGUGCUUGCAUCAUGAUUUACAUUUGAGUGAGUGGCGAACUGGUGAGUAACACGUGGGAAACCUGCCCAGAAGCGGGGGAUAACACCUGGAAACAGAUGCUAAUACCGCAUAACAACUUGGACCGCAUGGUCCGAGUUUGAAAGAUGGCUUCGGCUAUCACUUUUGGAUGGUCCCGCGGCGUAUUAGCUAGAUGGUGGGGUAACGGCUCACCAUGGCAAUGAUACGUAGCCGACCUGAGAGGGUAAUCGGCCACAUUGGGACUGAGACACGGCCCAAACUCCUACGGGAGGCAGCAGUAGGGAAUCUUCCACAAUGGACGAAAGUCUGAUGGAGCAACGCCGCGUGAGUGAAGAAGGGUUUCGGCUCGUAAAACUCUGUUGUUAAAGAAGAACAUAUCUGAGAGUAACUGUUCAGGUAUUGACGGUAUUUAACCAGAAAGCCACGGCUAACUACGUGCCAGCAGCCGCGGUAAUACGUAGGUGGCAAGCGUUGUCCGGAUUUAUUGGGCGUAAAGCGAGCGCAGGCGGUUUUUUAAGUCUGAUGUGAAAGCCUUCGGCUCAACCGAAGAAGUGCAUCGGAAACUGGGAAACUUGAGUGCAGAAGAGGACAGUGGAACUCCAUGUGUAGCGGUGAAAUGCGUAGAUAUAUGGAAGAACACCAGUGGCGAAGGCGGCUGUCUGGUCUGUAACUGACGCUGAGGCUCGAAAGUAUGGGUAGCAAACAGGAUUAGAUACCCUGGUAGUCCAUACCGUAAACGAUGAAUGCUAAGUGUUGGAGGGUUUCCGCCCUUCAGUGCUGCAGCUAACGCAUUAAGCAUUCCGCCUGGGGAGUACGGCCGCAAGGCUGAAACUCAAAGGAAUUGACGGGGGCCCGCACAAGCGGUGGAGCAUGUGGUUUAAUUCGAAGCUACGCGAAGAACCUUACCAGGUCUUGACAUACUAUGCAAAUCUAAGAGAUUAGACGUUCCCUUCGGGGACAUGGAUACAGGUGGUGCAUGGUUGUCGUCAGCUCGUGUCGUGAGAUGUUGGGUUAAGUCCCGCAACGAGCGCAACCCUUAUUAUCAGUUGCCAGCAUUAAGUUGGGCACUCUGGUGAGACUGCCGGUGACAAACCGGAGGAAGGUGGGGAUGACGUCAAAUCAUCAUGCCCCUUAUGACCUGGGCUACACACGUGCUACAAUGGAUGGUACAACGAGUUGCGAACUCGCGAGAGUAAGCUAAUCUCUUAAAGCCAUUCUCAGUUCGGAUUGUAGGCUGCAACUCGCCUACAUGAAGUCGGAAUCGCUAGUAAUCGCGGAUCAGCAUGCCGCGGUGAAUACGUUCCCGGGCCUUGUACACACCGCCCGUCACACCAUGAGAGUUUGUAACACCCAAAGUCGGUGGGGUAACCUUUUAGGAACCAGCCGCCUAAGGUGGGACAGAUGAUUAGGGUG
rnacentral:rRNA from 2 species